AUGGGGCUUGCACUCUCUGCACACUCGUCUAUCCGAUUGGAUUGUUGUUAUCUGCUUGUGUUUGCAUGUGGAUUGCCUUCGUGCGUUUCAGAUCAGUGCGUGCGUCUCCAGGCUUCAGAUUUGCGUGCGUACUUGGUCACGACGUGCACAGUCCAGUUGAGGGGCAGUACUAGUGUAGUAGUACUGAUUAACGUGCAGCUUGUCGAAGCUGCUGGGUACAUGCCGACCCACUGGAACAAAGAAAGAAAGAAAUUUGUGCGACUACGCGACUGCAACUUGAGGGGUGGACAGAACGGUCGACGUCUGCUUGGAUUGGGUGGACUGAACGAGUACACAAUGCUCUGCAUAUUGCCAAAAGCAACUUGA
rnacentral:rRNA from 1 species